rnacentral:tRNA from 1 species
UUCGGGGUCGUCUAAUGGUAGGACAACAGCCUUUGGAGCUGUUUAUUCUUGGUUCGAAUCCAAGCCCCGAAG